UACAGAGGUCCCAAGCGUUGUUCGGAUUCACUGGGCGUAAAGGGUGCGUAGGCGGUCGGGUAAGUCUGGCGUGAAAUCUCCAAGCCUAACUUGGAAACUGCGUUGGAUACUAUCCGGCUCGAGGAAUGGAGGGGAGACUGGAAUACUUGGUGUAGCAGUGAAAUGCGUAGAUAUCAAGAGGAACACCAGUGGCGAAGGCGAGUCCCUGGACGAUACCUGACACUGAGGCACGAAAGCUAGGGGAGCAAACAGG
rnacentral:rRNA from 1 species